rnacentral:lncRNA from 8 species
AUGCUGGGACGGGGCGUAGUGGUCUAUAUAGAUGACAUUAUGGUCUAUUCUGCUGACCGCGUUCAGCAUGUCUCAUUAGUCAGGUCUGUGCUGAGAAGACUGUUGGAGCAUUAUCUAUAUGUUAAGCAGGAGUACAUCAGGGCAGCGAAGAGGCUAAACCCGAGACAGGCCAGGUGGGCUCUAUUCUUCGCCAGGUUCCAAUUCACGAUUUCCUAUCGGCCAGGCCCGAAGAAUGUGAAGGUGGACGCCCUGUCUCAGGGAGAGGAGACGUUCCGCAUCAUCGCGCCAGUGGUAUGGAACGUGGACGCCGACACACGGCAGGCCCAGCGUACGGAACCCACACUUGCACAGUGCCCGGAGAACCACGCCUACAUACCCACAGGUGUGCGGGACCGCCUCCUUUCCCGGGCGCACAUGGCGCAUGUGUCGGGUCAUCCUGGGAUAGGCCGUACCAUCGCCUGCCUAACGGAGAAGUACUGGUGGCCCACCUUGGCUAGGGACGUCCGGGUUUACGUCUCUUCUUGCUCCAUCUGUGCUCAGUCAAAGACACCCAGACACCUCCCUUAUGGAAAGCUCCUUCCCCUGCCGGUUCCACAACGACCCUGGUCUCACCUCUCGGUGGACUUUGUCACUGAUCUUCCCCCCCUCCCAGGGGAACACCACCAUUCUCGUCGUUUUGGACCGGUUUUCCAAAGCUUGUCGCCUCCUUCCUCUGCCUGGGCUUCCGUCGGCCAUGCAAACCGCGGAGGCUCUUUUUACGCACGUCUUCCGGCACUACGGGAUCCCGGAGGAUAUUGUGUCAGAUCGUGGCCCUCAGUUCACCUCACGGGUAUAGAAGGCGUUAAGGGAACGCCUGGGGGUCACGGUCAGUCUCACCUCCGGGUACCGGCCUCAAGCAAAUGGGCAGGUGGAGAGGGUCAACCAGGAGGUGGGCAGGUUCCUGCGGUGUUACUGUCAGGAUCAGCCAGGGGAGUGGGCGGAUUUUCUACCUUGGGCGGAGUACUCGCAGAAUUCCCUCCGCCACUCCUCCACUAA